GCAAGUCGAGCGACAGACGAGGAGCUUGCUCCUCUGACGUUAGCGGCGGACGGGUGAGUAACACGUGGAUAACCUACCUAUAAGACUGGGAUAACUUCGGGAAACCGGAGCUAAUACCGGAUAAUAUAUUGAACCGCAUGGUUCAAUAGUGAAAGACGGUUUUGCUGUCACUUAUAGAUGGAUCCGCGCCGCAUUAGCUAGUUGGUAAGGUAACGGCUUACCAAGGCAACGAUGCGUAGCCGACCUGAGAGGGUGAUCGGCCACACUGGAACUGAGACACGGUCCAGACUCCUACGGGAGGCAGCAGUAGGGAAUCUUCCGCAAUGGGCGAAAGCCUGACGGAGCAACGCCGCGUGAGUGAUGAAGGUCUUCGGAUCGUAAAACUCUGUUAUUAGGGAAGAACAAAUGUGUAAGUAACUAUGCACGUCUUGACGGUACCUAAUCAGAAAGCCACGGCUAACUACGUGCCAGCAGCCGCGGUAAUACGUAGGUGGCAAGCGUUAUCCGGAAUUAUUGGGCGUAAAGCGCGCGUAGGCGGUUUUUUAAGUCUGAUGUGAAAGCCCACGGCUCAACCGUGGAGGGUCAUUGGAAACUGGAAAACUUGAGUGCAGAAGAGGAAAGUGGAAUUCCAUGUGUAGCGGUGAAAUGCGCAGAGAUAUGGAGGAACACCAGUGGCGAAGGCGACUUUCUGGUC
rnacentral:rRNA from 1 species